rnacentral:lncRNA from 1 species
ACCGGAAUCAACAAGCCAUGUGUUCUCCAGGCCUCCGAUCUGCAUCAAUAGAAAGACAUGGGGUGAGCAAAUGGCACAACACUAGGGUUAGUAAACUGUGAAGGAUACCAGUGUUGGGUCAUUUGCCCUGGAAAAGUGUUAGGAAAAACACCAAGCAUGCCAUGUCCCAUUUGAGGAAAUCGAUCACCACGAAAGGGAAAACAUGGUCCGCUAGAGCUAUGGGACUGAGAAGCAAAGCCACCGCCAUGAGGUUCAAAGUCAUAUUGAUCAUGACCUGAACCACGUCGGGCACGACCACCAUGUGGUCUCGCAAGCUGAGGCCUAGCACCUUGAGGCAUUGCACCUCUAGGCCUAGCACUGCGCCUCUGAACAGGCGGCACAUGUACGCCAUGGGGUGGGCGGUACAUGUUCCGGUUGUUCAACUCGUACUCUCGCCGCUCAUCUCUCUUCCUUCUAAAGCAAAACUCAACAAGGUGACCAUCCCUAUGGCAAUACUCACAGUGAUACCUUACCUCUCUCUUGGGUGGUUGUUGGUUCACUCUCUUGUGGGUAUGGUUCACUCUAGGUGGCUUUUUGGCUUUAGGAAGGGGAUCCUCAGAGAUGUUUGGUAGAGUGUCAAGUGGGUUCCUGAGAUGGUUAGGUUUUGGAAUCCACACUUGUUUCUGAGGUGGGGAUUUUGGAGGUUCUUCAAACACUCCAUCUUUGACAGUGGGUUUGGAAGGCUCAGGUGGAGUGAAUUUGAUCAACUUGGGAGUAGUGGAUGGUUUCUCACUUGGGCUCAAACCACUAAACUCACCAACCUUGCCAUAAAGAUUUUCACCCUUCCCACCUAUAGCAAAGCCUACACCCAAUGUGCAAGUUCCCCGCCUGAACUGGCUCAUCAUCUGCCCAACUGUGGCUCACUGCUAGACACCCAGCUCAAGAUGGACCAAAGGUAUGUGUUGUCUUCCUCGGAUCUCAUCUUAUCGUGCCUGCAAGACUCAAGCUCUAGUACCAAACUCUCACAACGUGCACACUUAGCAAUAGUGCUAUCUGAACUGGCCUUCUCAAGAAUAGAGAUCUUGGCAUUCUUCUCUGCCAGCUCAGAUUGCAAGCCCGUGCAGGACUUGCACCCACCCAACAAGACAGGCCUAGCCUUCAGCUCACCAUACUCAUCAAGCAAAGUAGCAUACUUUGAUUGCAAUUCAGAGAAGUUAGACAUAUGAACAGCACACUCAUCGCACACUACUUCAUCUGACACAACCACAGCACACUCCUUAGCAACCUCAACCUCCUUAAGCGCCAACUCUAGCUUGUCCUUAAACUCUUUUCUCUCACGGGCAGCACGCUUAAGCAAUUUAUCUUGACUAAUCAAGGUGAUAUUCAUGCUGUCAAGCUCAGUGACAAGGUCAUCGACAGAAGGAGGUACCUCGGAGGUGUCGUCGUCGAAGGAGACCUCAUCCUUGCUAGCCUUCACCUCUUCAUCAAUCGCCAUGGUGCAGAAGCCUCCGUGAGUGGAGUCGGCGACGAAGCAAAGACCGGUCAGCUUCUCCUCCAUCUUCCUCUCGGACUCAUCGUCACUCGAGGGAGAAGAGGAGCGGUCAUCGCCGGAGUCGUUGUCGAGGUCGCUGAGGGAAGCAAGGAAGGCACGCUCUUGUGCCUUG